UCCAAGUUUUUGUCAGAGAUGUGCUGCAACA
rnacentral:piRNA from 1 species